AUACGUAGGGGGCGAGCGUUGUCCGGAAUGAUUGGGCGUAAAGGGCGCGUAGGCGGCCCGGUAAGUCUGGAGUGAAAGUCCUGUUUUUAAGAUGGGAAUUGCUUUGGAUACUGUCGGGCUUGAGUGCAGGAGAGGUAAGUGGAAUUCCCAGUGUAGCGGUGAAAUGCGUAGAGAUUGGGAGGAACACCAGUGGCGAAGGCGACUUACUGGACUGUAACUGACGCUGAGGCGCGAAAGUGUGGGGAGCAAACAGGAUUAGAUACCCUGGUAGUCCACACUGUAAACGAUGAAUGCUAGGUGUUGGGGGUGUCGACCCCUUCUGUGCCGCAGUCAACACAAUAAGCAUUCCGCCUGGGGAGUACGGCCGCAAGGUUGAAACUCAAAGGAAUUGACGGGG
rnacentral:rRNA from 1 species